CCUACGGGAGGCAGCAGUGAGGAAUAUUGGUCAAUGGCCGCAAGGCUGAACCAGCCAAGUAGCGUGCGGGAAGACUGCCCUAUGGGUUGUAAACUUCUUUUAUGCGGGGAUAAAGGUGUCCACGUGUGGAUGUUUGCAGGUACCGCAUGAAUAAGGACCGGCUAAUUCCGUGCCAGCAGCCGCGGUAAUACGGAGGGUCCGAGCGUUAUCCGGAUUUAUUGGGUUUAAAGGGGGCGUAGGCCGGCCUUUAAGCUUGCCGUGAAAUAUUGAGGCUCAACGUUGGGAGUGCGGCGCAUACUGGAGGGCUAGAGUGUACGGGAGGUAGGCGGAAUGCAUGGUGUAGCGGUGAAAUGCUUAGA
rnacentral:rRNA from 1 species